rnacentral:lncRNA from 1 species
GUUGUUUCCUGACUUUUGAAUGAUUUCCAUUCUAUCUAGUGUGAGAUGGUAUCUCAUUGUGGUUUUGAUUUGCCUUUCUGAUGGCCAGUGAUGAUGAGCAUUUUUUCAUGUGUUUGUUGGCUGUAUGAAUGUCUUCUUUUGAGAACUGUCUGUUCAAAUCCUUUGCCCACUUUUUGAUGGGGUUGUUUGUUUUUUUCUUUUGAGAAAUGUCUGUUCAUAUCCUUUGCCCACUUUUUGAUGGGGUUGUUUGUUUUUUUUCUUGUAAAUUUGUUUGUGUUCAUUGUAGGUUCUGGAUAUUAGCUCUUUGUCAGAUGAGUAGAUUGCAAAAUUUUUCUCCCAUUCUGUAGGUUUCCUGUUCACUCUGAUCGUAAUUUGGCUGUGCAGAAGCUCUUUAGUUUAAUUAGAUCCCAUUUGUUAAUUUUGGCUUUUGUUGCUGUUGCUUUUGGUGUUUUAGACAUGAAGUCAUACUUAUGCCUAUGUCCUGAAUGAUAUUACCUAGGUUUUUCUUUUAGAGGGAUUUUAUGGUAUUAGGUCUAACAUUUAAGUCUCUAAUCCAUCUUGAAUUAAUUUUCAUAUAAGGAGUAAGGAAAGGAUCCAGUUUCAGCUUUCUACUUAUGGCUAGCCAAUUUUCCCAGCACCAUUUAUUAAAUAG